UACGUAGGGUGCGAGCGUUGUCCGGAAUUAUUGGGCGUAAAGAGCUCGUAGGCGGUGUGUCGCGUCGGCCGUGAAAACCUGCAGCUUAACUGUGGCUUGCGGUCGAUACGGGCAUCACUGGAGUUCGGCAGGGGAGACUGGAAUUCCUGGUGUAGCGGUGAAAUGCGCAGAUAUCAGGAGGAACACCGGUGGCGAAGGCGGGUCUCUGGGCCGAUACUGACGCUGAGGUGCGAAAGCGUGGGGAGCAAACAGG
rnacentral:rRNA from 1 species